UACGUAGGGGCAAGCGUUAUCCGGAUUUACUGGGUGUAAAGGGAGCGCAGACGGAACUGCAAGUCUGAUGUGAAAGCCCGGGGCUCAACCGCGGGACUGCAUUGGAAACUGUAGAUCUGGAGUGCCGGAGGGGCAAGCGGAAUUCCUGGUGUAGCGGUGAAAUGCGUAGAUAUCAGGAGGAACGCCGGCGGCGAAGGCGGCUUGCUGGACGGCAACUGACGUUGAGGAGCGAAAGCCAGGGGAGCAAACGGGAUUAGAUACCCGGGUAGUCCCU
rnacentral:rRNA from 1 species